AAGUCGUAACAAGGUAACCGUAGGUGAACCUGCGGUUGGAUCAUUAAUAUAAUGACUCUUUUAUAGGGAGACGAGGGAGACUGGGUGUUCUGGAUUACGUCCUGGGGUUUACACUCAGGAGACUGGAGCACUUGGAUUACUUCUCUGCAGACUCCCUUUAAAAGUGACUAACCAUUUGUGCACUGUGAUGUUUUUUGGGUCUAGCUUUAAACCUAGGCCCUGCCAUUUGAAAACCAAUUUUAAACUUGACUAAAAUUUUAAAUAUAAAAAUUUAAAACUAUAGACAACGGAUCUCUUGGUUCUC
rnacentral:misc_RNA from 1 species